AGAGUUUGAUCCUGGCUCAGAAUCAACGCUGGCGGCGUGCCUCAGACAUGCAAGUCGAACGAUUAAGACUUCCUUCGGGAAGUGUAUAAAGUGGCGCACGGGUGAGUAACACGUAAGUAAUCUACCUUCGAGUGGGGAAUAACCCGGGGAAACCCGAGCUAAUACCGCAUAAUGCAGCGGCAUCGCAAGAUGACAGUUGUUAAAGGAAUUUAUUUCGCUUGAAGAGGAGCUUGCGGCAGAUUAGCUAGUUGGUAAGGUAACGGCUUACCAAGGCUACGAUCUGUAUCCGGUCUAAGAGGACGGUCGGACACACUGACACUGAAUAACGGGUCAGACUCCUACGGGAGGCAGCAGUCGGGAAUUUUGGGCAAUGGGCGAAAGCCUGACCCAGCAACGCCGCGUGAAGGAUGAAGUAUUUCGGUAUGUAAACUUCGAAAGAAUGGGAAGAAUAAAUGACGGUACCAUUUAUAAGCUCCGGCUAACUACGUGCCAGCAGCCGCGGUAAUACGUAGGGAGCAAGCGUUGUUCGGAUUUACUGGGCGUAAAGGGCGCGUAGGCGGCGCGGUAAGUCACUUGUGAAAUCUCUGAGCUUAACUCAGAACGGCCAAGUGAUACUGCAGUGCUAGAGUGCAGAAGGGGCAAUCGGAAUUCUUGGUGUAGCGGUGAAAUGCGUAGAUAUCAAGAGGAACACCUGAGGUGAAGACGGGUUGCUGGGCUGACACUGACGCUGAGGCGCGAAAGCCAGGGGAGCAAACGGGAUUAGAUACCCCGGUAGUCCUGGCCCUAAACGAUGAAUACCUGGUGUCUGGAGUUUCAAGACUUCGGGUGCCGUCGCUAACGUUUUAAGUAUUCCGCCUGGGGAGUACGCUCGCAAGUGUGAAACUUAAAGGAAUUGACGG
rnacentral:rRNA from 1 species